rnacentral:rRNA from 1 species
CUCGCUGGGGGUGUCGGGGGCCGGUGUUUGUGUGGAGGUGGCACAUCGGAGGUGCUGGGCGUCGUAUGUCGCUCGGGGCGUGGGCUCAUGGGCUGUAGAGCUGGGAAGGGAAGGGAAGGAAGCAGUGAGCGCGCGCGUGCGUGCGUGCGUGCGAACAAGGAGGGCGACGACCGGAUCGAUCUAGGGGUUUCGCCUCCUCAACCGGCCCUUCGAAGCAGGCCUUCGUAGCCGGCCACCGCCGUCUCUCUCCUCGGCGACGCGGGCCACGCCGCCAGCGAACUCCACAUCCUUCACAAUUCCCCUAUGUAUUAGUCAAAACUCGACACUCCGGACGUAAACACGACGGACGACAAACUAAGUGCCGGGUGAGAAAAGGAGGAUGAGUAAAUUCGUUUCAUGACCUUAAAGAUUCGAGUCAAAUAAGUCCAGUACCCUUAACAAACAGGAAUCGUCUCAACUUCUAUUUCUCUCCUUCCGAUUUGAGGCGACUGAGUCAAGUACACCCGUUACUCGGUUGACGUUAUCUCCAAAAGUCAUCUAAUUGUGGUUAACUCAGUUUCUUUUAUCUCUCCAAAUCCCCCUCCAUACUCUAUGAUGAGCGCAGUUCAGGUCGCAAACCGACCUCUGUGUCUUCCUCCUCGCAACAACAAACAUCUGCGGGAGUUGAGGUUCAUUGUUUCGCUGGUCAACAGUUGUGAAGGAAAAUAAAAACAUAAAAGGGACCUUAACCUCUACCUCUAUUUAAGAAGCCCACUCCUUUGUUACUAUUUCCACGCUUUCGGCAUGUGUUAUUGUUUUGUCGCCCUCGCCACCUGGCUCCGUCUCGUGUUUGCCAAGGAACUUCGGGAGUUUGACAUACCGUCUCGAACCGUCGCGUAUCUUCUCGUGCAACCCUGUUUCUGCCGGCACGUUUAGUCUUCGGUACGAGUCUUCAAGAAGUGGUUCAACCUUUUCCUUCGAUAGUUAUUACCAUGAAGAGGCCCUGUUCGAGUACUAUAUCUGUAUGGAGGUGGUGCCGGAUUUUCUUUUGGAUUGACAGGUAUAGGAGCUUUUCCAACAGAGUCAAGACUUUGUGGGUGGUCUCUUCAAGGUUUUAGUUCACAUUCGAACUCGUUAUCGUUACGUCUUUACCCCUCGUUACCUUGAGAAGUCGAGUGGACGUAAGUCUUUGAAGUUUCCUUCCUCAAUAGACUUUUACCGUCAACGAGUCUUCAAUAAUUAUAGAAAGCUCUUCGUGGUAGACGGAGUAAAAGAAGGAGAUUGUUCUCGAGAAGUUUAGUACCACAGAGACCCCCUUAACUUGGCUGAUUUUGUCUUUUGUUUCUAUAACGUUGGUACCUUUCCUUUAGAUGAAGGUAACUACACCCCUUCCUACAUUUUCUAUAAUUACUGGUCCUUUACCUUUCCUUGUUGUCUCAGGUGUAGUCAAGAUUAAUACUGGCAAGAGUACUUCUAACAAACCUAUUGAGUUACUUUGUGUACGUCAACUUCGGUUUAUGGCGCCUCUGUUGUAUGUGCCCAGUUGUACGACGUUCACGGGGUGAGAUGGUUUACUUAUUCUGACCCCGUUGACCGCGAGGUCUGGGACCUUGACUUCCUUCAGUAGGACUAGUUUGUUCACUAGUUCACCCUCCUCGAUUACCUUCGUACCUGACGUAGGUAGGUUGUGAAGACCACCUAGGUUUUUACCCGUCGUCAAGGUGUCGUGUCGGGAAAGGGGUGUUGAUACGUCCGAAACGUGGUUGCUACGUUACGGUGACGUUGGUUCUACGGAUGUCCAGAAGAGAAUUAUACAGUAGGUGGAAGAGGUUGUACGAGCAAAGGUGCAACAAUAGUUUGGGGUGUCAUGUACGUCGGCGUUCCGAACGUCGUAGUAUGACCGGUCGUCGUCUGUCGUUGUAAGGACAACCAGGUUUAGUUCUUCAAAAACGACUCUUACGAGUUCCUUCUGUAUAACCAAGAGGAGGUUCGUACCGAAGACACCAUCGUCGAUGUCAACGACGCCGAAGCCGUACCACCCGUUGUGUUCCAGAAGAGGGAGAAAAACGAGGGGGGUACCGAAAAGGUAAACAGGGUCAAGGAUGACGAAGGAAAGGGUGUCGCCUACAAGUCGCUCGAUGUCUCUUGAAGGGUCACCUGUUGCGUGGCUUCCUUACGGUUCAUCGAGUCCUCGUUCCAGUUGGACUUCGAUACUAUCAACAUCGCAGAAGACAUAGGCUGCUCUCACCUUUUCCUCUCCACAGAGGGGUGUGACUCAAUUUAUAUAGAGGACGACUAUUUCAACUCUGUUGUGGAGGGUGUCCUCGACUUUGUUCACUACGAAAGCCGUUGUUCUUCUUCGUCCUAGCGAGAAGUACACCAAGGUUGUGCGGUAGUUCAUCACUACAUCUCCGUCUUGUACAAGGACUCUUGGUUCUAGUUCGGUUGCUGUUCUGUGUCGUUCGUACAACGUCAUUAAGAAGUCGACCACUGUACUUGGUGGCGUCCAAAUCCUUGUAAAGUUCGUGUUUACUAAGUACCUUCCUUCAAAGGCUUCUCCCAGCAUACCGAAAGCUAUUUGACAAGUCAUCUCCUUUCGAAGGGGUUUCGAAAAGAGGAGGUGUUCGUCUUCCUAACUUCCACCAUGGGUCCCCCCUUGUUCUGCUUCGAUGAUGCCACUGCCAGCUGGAGUUGUUCUCACGACGUCAAUACCUGGUACUUGAACUAUGUAACCAACCCGGUUCUCGACGAUGGAAAGGGUAACUUAACAGUGUGGACUUAUACUUUAGGGCGGCCUGUCCGAAGUUUGGAAUGUUCUCCACGAGCCACCUUCGUUUCCUCUUAUCCCACGGCCGAAGACUGCUCCACAGACUUUUUGUAGUUUACCUCUGUCUGCUCUUCGACUUCGUGGAGAUAUCGUGCCACUUAGUUGUCUCGUAAGACUACCUAGACCGUAGUGUAGGAGCCGGUUUUGUGGUGUACCUAGUCGUGUUCAUCAACCUUAUACUUCUCCCGAACGUGACUUCUGCCCUAAACGGAGAAACCUCCUCUUGUACAAAAAAACUGGGCUCCUCCUCUUGUACCAUGGAACACUUAACAGGAACGGUAGUCGUCCUGGUAACUUAACAUUUGACGCCCUACUACAAAGAAAAAGUGACAGAAAUAAUCUGAAUCCUAAAAGACGAUAUUGGUUGAACGAAGGUCUUGGUGUUGACAAAAACAAUCAAAGACUACAAAAUAAACCACCGGAAAGAUAGGAGUGACAACUUGUAAACGAGGGUAAAGGACUCCAGUUCCUUAAAACGACGAAUAUUAACCUACAAUAGGACUGUAUACCACUCCUCCCUAUACGUAGGUCCGUUUGACGACUGGUACUUGAACCGACGGGUCACACGUACCGUACACAUCUCCCACCUAUUUGCCGUGGUGAACUAAAGUAGUUCCGUGUACGUUAACCACUGCGACUCACUCAUAGAGAACUACAGAAGAGAAGCCGUAUUGGGUGUCUC